rnacentral:rRNA from 1 species
UACAGAGGGGGCAAGCGUUAUUCGGAAUUAUUGGGCGUAAAGGGCGCGUAGGCGGCCUGACAAGUGACGGGUGAAAGCCCUCGGCUUAACCGAGGAACUGCCUGUCAUACUGUCUGGCUUGAGACCGGGAGAGGUGAGUGGAAUUCCCAGUGUAGCGGUGAAAUGCGUAGAUAUUGGGAGGAACACCAGUGGCGAAGGCGGCUCACUGGACCGGUACUGACGCUGAGGCGCGAAAGCGUGGGGAGCAAACAGG